rnacentral:rRNA from 1 species
GACAGAGGUGCCGAGCGUUAGGCGGAAUCACUGGGCUUAAAGCGUGUGUAGGCGGACUUCUAAGUACCUUGUGAAAUCCCACGGCUCAACCGUGGAACUGCUCGGUAUACUGGGUGUCUUGAGCCACUUAGGGGCUACCGGAACAAAUGGUGGAGCGGUGAAAUGCGUAGAUAUCAUUUGGAACGCCAAUGGUGAAAACAGGUAGCUGGGAGUGUGCUGACGCUGAGACACGAAAGCCAGGGGAGCAAACGGG